CGCCCAACGCUUGAACCCACGACCCUGAGAUUAAGAGUCUCAUGCUCUACCGACUGAGCUAGCUGGGC